CGGGGAUGUUGUUCUCGCUGAGCGUCCGGCUCAUGUCCAGGCUGGCUCCGGCAUGUUUCCAGGUGUAGCUGCAGGCAUGGGAGUUGUAGCGCAGGUAACGCUGAAGGAUCUCAGCCAGAGUCUCCUCUGAGCACACCUGAGGGUCCGUACGUGUAUCCAACACUCUGACCAAGAGCAAAACAUCUCAGCAUCUCCAGACCGACUGACAUCAUGUGCCCUCUGUAUGUUCAGAGUCCCUGCUUACCAUCAUCAGGACCAUGUCUCCACCUGAAUCCUCAUCAACGUAUCCUCAUAAAACAGGUCGAACCAGCAGCUGAUGUCCUUUCCUGCACACUCCAUGAUGGGUAACAGCAGAGCGUCGCCUGCAGGAAACACAGGUU